rnacentral:rRNA from 1 species
CGCGUAGGGCGCAAGCGUUUGUCCGGAAUUAUUGGGCGUAAAGAGCUCGUAGGCGGUCUGUUGCGUCCGCUGUGAAAACUCGGGGCUUAACCCCGAGCCUGCAGUGGAUACGGGCAGACUAGAGGUAGGUAGGGGAGAAUGGAAUUCCCGGUGUAGCGGUGAAAUGCGCAGAUAUCGGGAGGAACACCGGUGGCGAAGGCGGUUCUCUGGGCCUUACCUGACGCUGAGGAACGAAAGCGUGGGGAGCGAACAGG